GGAAUCUUGGACAGUGGGCGCAAGCCUGAUCCAGCCAUGCCGCGUGAGUGAAGAAGGCCUUAGGGUUGUAAAACUCUUUCGCCGGAGAAGAUAAUGACGGUAUCCGGAGAAGAAGCCCCGGCUAACUUCGUGCCAGCAGCCGCGGUAAUACGAAGGGGGCUAGCGUUGUUCGGAAUUACUGGGCGUAAAGCGCACGUAGGCGGGUUUGUAAGUAGGGGGUGAAAUCCCAGGGCUCAACCCUGGAAUUGCCUUCUAGACUGCAAGCCUGGAGGUCAGGAGAGGCAAGCGGAAUUCCGAGUGUAGAGGUGAAAUUCGUAGAUAUUCGGAGGAACACCAGUGGCGAAGGCGGCUUGCUGGACUGACACUGACGCUGAGGUGCGAAAGCGUGGGGAGCAAAC
rnacentral:rRNA from 1 species